UACGUAGGGGGCAAGCGUUGUCCGGAUUCAUUGGGCGUAAAGAGCGUGUAGGCGGCCAGGUAGGUCGGUUGUGAAAACUGGAGGCUCAACCUUCAGAGGUCGACCGAAACCAUCUGGCUAAAGUCCGGGAGAGGAGAGUGGAAUUCCUGGUGUAGCGGUGAAAUGCGCAGAUAUCAGGAAGAACACCGGUGGCGAAGGCGGGUCUCUGGGCAACAACUGACGCUGAGGAGCGAAAGCGUGGGGAGCGAACAGG
rnacentral:rRNA from 1 species